rnacentral:rRNA from 1 species
AACGAACGCUGGCGGCAUGCCUAACACAUGCAAGUCGAACGAGACCUUCGGGUCUAGUGGCGCACGGGUGCGUAACGCGUGGGAACCUGCCCUUAGGUUCGGAAUAACUCAGAGAAAUUUGAGCUAAUACCGGAUAAUGUCUUCGGACCAAAGAUUUAUCGCCUUUGGAUGGGCUCGCGUAGGAUUAGCUUGUUGGUGGGGUAAUGGCCUACCAAGGCGACGUUCCUUAGCUGGUCUGAGAGGAUGAUCAGCCACACUGGGACCGAGACACGGCCCAGACUCCUACGGGAGGCAGCAGUGGGGAAUAUUGGACAAUAGGCGAGAGCCUGAUCCAGCAAUGCCGCGUGAGUGAUGAAGGCCUUAGGGUUGUAAAGCUCUUUUACCAGGGAUGAUAAUGACAGUACCUGGAGAAUAAGCUCCGGCUAACUCCGUG